CCACCGGUCUACAGGAGAAGUUUGUGCUGAAGGAGUGCUAUGUUGUCCUAAAUCCUAUCCGGUCUAGCAAGCAACUGCAGGAUGUGUUGGAGGAAGGCGUCGCUGCUUGUUCUUUAAUUGUGUUUUCUCCAGCUCAUCAACACAGAACGGCCAGACUCAUCCCUGGCUCUGAAGGCGUUGUCUCUGGCCCUCAGCAGCCUCUGGACAUCCCCUGUCAGCCGUGGCUUCCGGUUUGACCGUGUGAUGAUGCUCUUUGUGUAGUUCACAUCAUCCAUGUACUUGGGGAUGUAGGAGAUCACAGUGUCUGCGUACUCCUCAAUGUCUGUAUGGUUGUUGUAAGUGGCUGCCUGCUUAAACAUUUCCCAGUCGGUUGUGUCAAAGCAGUCUUGAAGAGCAGAG